rnacentral:tRNA from 1 species
CGGGGUGUAGCUUAGCCCGGUAGAGCGCCUGCUUCGGGAGCAGGAGGUCGCAGGUUCAAAUCCUGUCACCCCGA